rnacentral:rRNA from 1 species
GUGGGGAAUAUUGGACAAUGGGCGAAAGCCUGAUCCAGCCAUGCCGCGUGUGUGAAGAAGGUCUUCGGAUUGUAAAGCACUUUAAGUUGGGAGGAAGGGCAGUAAGUUAAUACCUUGCUGUUUUGACGUUACCGACAGAAUAAGCACCGGCUAACUUCGUGCCAGCAGCCGAGGUAAUACGAAGGGUGCAAGCGUUAAUCGGACUUACUGGGCGUAAAGCGCGCGUAGGUGGUUUUGUAAGUUGGAGGUGAAAUCCCCGGGCUAAACCUGGGAACUGCCUCCAAAACUGCAUGACUAGAGUACGGUAGAGGGUAGUGGAAUUUCCUGUGUAGCGGUGAAAUGCGUAGAUAUAGGAAGGAACACCAGUGGCGAAGGCGACUACCUGGACUGAUACUGACACUGAGGUGCGAAAGCGUGGGGAGCAAACAGGAUUAGAUACCCGGGUAGUCC